AAAGUCCCCUUCGGGGGGCGAGUAGAGUGGCGCACGGGUGAGUAACACGUAGGUAAUCUACCUUUGGAUUGGGAAUAACAACCGGAAACGGUUGCUAAUACCGAAUAAUGCAGCGGCACCUAAUGGUGACAGUUGUUAAAGCGGGGGAUCGCAAGACCUCGCGUCUGAAGAGGAGCCUGCGGCAGAUUAGCUAGUUGGUAAGGUAACGGCUUACCAAGGCGAUGAUCUGUAGCCGGCCUGAGAGGGCGGUCGGCCACACUGACACAGACAUACGGGUCAGACUCCUACGGGAGGCAGCAGUCGGGAAUUUUGGGCAAUGGGCGCAAGCCUGACCCAGCAACGCCGCGUGAAGGAUGAAAUCCUUCGGGAUGUAAACUUCGCAAGAACGGGAAGAAUAAGUAAGAGUUAAUAUCUCUUACGAUGACGGUACUGUUUGUAAGCUCCGGCUAACUCCGUGCCAGCAGCCGCGGUAAUACGGGGGGAGCAAGCGUUGUUCGGAUUUACUGGGCGUAAAGGGCGCGUAGGCGGCCACCGCAAGUCGACUGUGAAAUCUCCGGGCUUAACCCGGAAAGGUCAGCCGAUACUGCGGGGCUAGAGUGCAGAAGGGGCAACUGGAAUUCUCGGUGUAGCGGUGAAAUGCGUAGAUAUCGAGAGGAACACCUGCGGCGAAGGCGGGUUGCUGGGCUGACACUGACGCUGAGGCGCGAAAGCUAGGGGAGCGAACGGGAUUAGAUACCCCGGUAGUCCUAGCCUUAAACGAUGAAUGCUUGGUGUCUGGGGUUUUAUAGU
rnacentral:rRNA from 1 species